CCAAUCCUGGAGCAGAAGUUACAAGGGAAGGUGUGCAACGCUGGUAUCCGCGAUCGAAUUGGUGGGGACUUUACGCGGUUCCUGGAGGAAUUUCGGGAUCGCCGAGUAUCCUGCGUUGAGUGAUCUAGUUGAAGAUUGGACGCAAAGUGGUGAGGUGCUGGUUCAUCCAUCGAAUCCAUCGGAUUCAUCGUCUCCAGUGGUCAAAGCACAAUUUCUUCGCAAAGUUUUCAAAAGAAUUUUUCUGCAAUCCUUUUCCACGUUUUGCCUGAUCGGUCGACGCGAAAAUUCGACGUUAAUACAAUAAUUUUUAUCUUGGUGUCAGAGUGAACUUUCCGCGAACGCUGAAAAAUGCCCCAACCAGCACACGAGACAAAGAACAUCUUAACCACCUACUUCAUCCUGAUUCUUCUGCUGAUUUGUCUCUGGUUAUUGUAUUCGGGAUUGUUUUAACCUUCGAAUACAUUCCCCGUGAUGGAGUGAAGAAGAACGAAGGGAACGCGUUCUUCAACGACCAGAUAUUCCCAGGAUUAAGCAAGAUACAGCAUUUUUACACUUUCAUCUGAAAAAAGAAUCAAAAUGAACGAAACAAGUAACGAUUUUCAUACUUUUCCAUCGUUUCUCCGUACAAUUUCAAGAUUAUGAUCGUUGCUGGACAAGAAUGUAGUUUUAUUUUUAAUAAAAAUAGAGAAGAAAAAUAGCGUACAGUUUGGCGGAGAGGAGGAAAGGAGACGGAGGGACGAACAGCAUGAGGUUCUCGUAAAUUAGAAAAAUUAUAACCCAGAGGCGCGUCUGUUGUUGACACGGUAAAUGUGGAAACUCUUUCGUUCGGCCGCUAUUUACAAGUGAUUAAGGAGACGUGGAAAAAAAAACAUUUCGGGGUACACGUACCGGAUGGGCAAGAAACACGUGGGCGUUUUGGUCGAAAAUAGCCCAGCUUCUUUUCCACAACGCACACCAAACAUCAAACACCAGAUACACAGGGAGAACUAAAUCGGUCUUUUCGAUAGCAAUUCCGAAAAUAGAAGCUCUACGAACGUAUCUAUCUCACCUGUCCGAAUAUCGCGAGCUGGUAAAUGAGCGAGGUAAAAUCAAUUUUCCCGCUUAUUACGCAAUUCAAGUCCGUUUGCUGUUCGUCGUGGAUCAUAUUACAGGUUCGUUCGUUUCCGAAAAGCCUGGAAUAUUUUUACUUAUAAAUAGAAUGUCACGGAUGAGCAUUGAUCGGUCGUUCCCGAUGUGCCGCGACUCUUUCUCCUCUUUUUCUCCCCUGUGAUCGACAUCCAUCAAUAAAUGUGCUUUCUCUGA